AAUACGGAGGGUGCGAGCGUUAAUCGGAAUUACUGGGCGUAAAGCGCAUGCAGGUGGUUUGUUAAGUCAGAUGUGAAAGCCCGGGGCUCAACCUCGGAAUUGCAUUUGAAACUGGCAGACUAGAGUACUGUAGAGGGGGGUAGAAUUUCAGGUGUAGCGGUGAAAUGCGUAGAGAUCUGAAGGAAUACCGGUGGCGAAGGCGGCCCCCUGGACAGAUACUGACACUCAGAUGCGAAAGCGUGGGGAGCAAACAGGAUUAGAUACCCUGGUAGUCCACGCCGUAAACGAUGUCUACUUGGAGGUUGUGGCCUUGAGCCGUGGCUUUCGGAGCUAACGCGUUAAGUAGACCGCCUGGGGAGUACGGUCGCAAGAUUAAAACUCAAAUGAAUUGACGGGGGCCCGCACAAGCGGUGGAGCAUGUGGUUUAAUUCGAUGCAACGCGAAGAACCUUACCUACUCUUGACAUCCAGAGAACUUUCCAGAGAUGGAUUGGUGCCUUCGGGAACUCUGAGACAGGUGCUGCAUGGCUGUCGUCAGCUCGUGUUGUGAAAUGUUGGGUUAAGUCCCGCAACGAGCGCAACCCUUAUCCUUGUUUGCCAGCGAGUAAUGUCGGGAACUCCAGGGAGACUGCCGGUGAUAAACCGGAGGAAGGUGGGGACGACGUCAAGUCAUCAUGGCCCUUACGAGUAGGGCUACACACGUGCUACAAUGGCGCAUACAGAGGGCGGCCAACUUGCGAGAGUGAGCGAAUCCCAAAAAGUGCGUCGUAGUCCGGAUCGGAGUCUGCAACUCGACUCCGUGAAGUCGGAAUCGCUAGUAAUCGUGGAUCAGAAUGCCACGGUGAAUACGUUCCCGGGCCUUGUACACACCGCCCGUCACACCAUGGGAGUGGGCUGCAAAAGAAGUAGGUAGUUUAACCUUCGGGAGGACGCUUACCACUUUGUGGUUCAUGACUGG
rnacentral:rRNA from 1 species